rnacentral:rRNA from 1 species
GACGAACGCUGGCGGCGUGCUUAACACAUGCAAGUCGAACGAUGAGCCCGGAGCUUGCUCUGGGGGAUUAGUGGCGAACGGGUGAGUAACACGUGAGUAACCUGCCCUGGACUCUGGGAUAAGCGUUGGAAACGACGUCUAAUACCGGAUAGGACCUUGGAUCGCAUGAUCUGGGGUGGAAAGUUUUUUCGGUCUGGGAUGGACUCGCGGCCUAUCAGCUUGUUGGUGAGGUAAUGGCUCACCAAGGCGUCGACGGGUAGCCGGCCUGAGAGGGUGACCGGCCACACUGGGACUGAGACACGGCCCAGACUCCUACGGGAGGCAGCAGUGGGGAAUAUUGCACAAUGGGCGAAAGCCUGAUGCAGCAACGCCGCGUGCGGGAUGACGGCCGUCGGGUUGUAAACCGCUUUUAGUAGGGAAGAAGGGCUUCGGCUUGACGGUACCUGCAGAAAAAGGACCGGCUAACUACGUG